AUCCCACGGAAUGUUAAAAUACAUUGCACCAUCCCAUUUGUCUAUUUCUUCAGUCUAUCUCUGCUAAAAGAGCUUUCAGAAAGAAACUGUCAAUAGAAACCUGGGCUUCCUCAGCAGACCAAAGCCUUGAGAAGAACACAAUUCGCUGUUUUGUAUUUGAAUGCGCAUGUGUGUGUCCUUUUAAAACUCUUUCCAUUUGUACAAUGACAGAUUUCAGAUUGGAGUUAAUCUGAGCAUGGAAGACUAUGCCCUGACGUUUGGAAUUAAUCCCUUCAUUGCCUUGAUGAUUCAACCCAUCGUGACGAUGACUGUGGUUGACAACCAAGGACUGGGGCUUCCUGUUGACAUUCAGCACAAAGCAAAGCCCUCGCCAAAAGCCAGCCAGAUGCUGCCACCUGAUCUUGGACCUCCCAGCUUCCAGAACUGCUUCACCUGUAGAACUGCCCCCUCCCUUGUGAUGGUUCUCAGCUGGAAGAGCGGGGUCAGGAGAGAAGUGCCAGUUCAUCCAUCUUACGCUAAGUAUUAAGUCCAUCUGAGAAACUAGAGCCUUGGGACCCAGGGAUGAGGAAACUUACCGUACAGACAUGCGGGCUGACCUUCAUUCACCCUGCGGGCCAUGGCCUCUGCCAUCCAACUGCAGAGGCUUCAGCCGAAACUCUCUCCAGCACUGCCCUAAACAGACCAAGUGUGAGGGAGGGAGCAUGUAAUGAAAAGUCCACAGAGAACAAGAAGCCACAAGAUUCGGUGCUCUGGAGCCAUUCUAGAUGGUUUCAGGGGAACUAGCUUCCCACCUCUGACAGGGAUACCAUGGCAAAUACCACUCUUUGCCUAGGAUUAUAAUUCUUUGUGCACAAUGCAUCCCAUCCCAAAGACAGUCCACAGCAGGACUUGCUCCAUCUCUGAACUGGUCUUACCCCCUUAAACCUGCCUUUAUAUCUAGGAGUUUCUUUAUUUUAUUUUAUUUUUUUGAGACAGAGUCUCGCUCCAUUGCCCAGGCUGGACUGCAGCGGCGUGAUCUCAGCUCACUGCAACCUCCACCUCCUGGGUUCAAGUGAUUCUUGUGCCUCAGCCUCCCAAGUAGCUGGGAUUAAAGGCACGUGCCACCAUGACUGGCCAAUUUUUAUAUUUUUAGUAGAGAUGAGGUUUCACCAUGUUGGCCAGGCUGGUCUCAAACUCUUGACUUCAAGUGAUCCGCCCGCCUCAGCCUCCCAAAGUGCUGGGAUUACAGGUGUGAGCCACCAGGCCCAGCCUAUAUCUAGGAGUCUCUUGAUGAGCAUUGGUCGACAGAAAGAAGUCUCUUCUAAAAAUUGUUAAUGCUUUUAUAGACUACUCAUAGUCUGAGUCAUAAAACAUCAUUUGCCUUUCAAUUUAUACCUUCCAAGUGAAUAUGAUUAUUGAGGAUUAUCUAAUUAUUAUCUACGUUUCUCUCUAGAUAUAAAAAACACCAUAGAUCCUAUACACACAAAAAUGGUUUUUCUAUCAGAAAUGGACUCACUCGCCUGGCAAAAGGACACAGAUUAGAUUAUUCUAAUCUCAAGGCCCCUUAGGCUUAUGAAUUCAAAAAAAAAAAUAGAAGAAAUGAACAAAAACUUAAAUCACAGUUUGUUAUUAAGUAAUAUCUGAAAUGAAUUAGAAAGAAACCAUAAGCCUUAACAAUACUCCAAUCACAGUUAAAUUAAUUUAGACAGAAAAGCAAAUAGCAAUUGACUUGAAAAUAAGAAGUGGAGCCGAAGGUGGAUACAAGAAAUCCAGGAGGGCUAAGAUAAAUCCCAAAUCCAAUGUUCAUCAAUGCCUACACAUUCAGUACAACCUGAUGGCAUUAAUUCUGUGGUUGGGGAAAUGUGAAAGUGAAAUCGAUAAUACCACAGUUCUAAAUGUGCACUGUUGGCUGAACUUAUGGUGUGGUGGGGGGUGGUAAAAAUUAGGCUUCUAAGAAAGGAUGGGACUCUGCCCUCCAGGCAAGGAGUAAAUGGCCCCAGCAGAUGGAAAACUAAAGCAAAUGUAAUCACCUGCAUUUUGAAAAUAGGUGUGUUUCUGAGAAUUUGUUUGAAUUAGUUCUUUGUAAAUAAAACAGGAUUUUGAAUGC
ensembl:lncRNA C2orf83 folate transporter-like protein C2orf83